rnacentral:rRNA from 1 species
GACGAACGCUGGCGGCGUGGAUUAGGCAUGCAAGUCGAACGGUAUCAUCCUUUCGGGGGUGAGAGAGUGGCGAACUGGUGAGUAACACGUAGGUUAUCUACCCUCAAGACGGGGACAACCCAGGGAAACUUGGGCUAAUACCGGAUGUGAGCAACUUUUAGUUGUUUGAAAGGUGGCGUAAGCUGUCGCUUGGGGAUGAGCCUGCGUCCUAUUAGUUAGUUGGUGAGGUAACGGCUCACCUAGGCAAUGAUAGGUAGGCGGCCUUAACGGGUGGUCGCCCACACUGGGAUUGAGAUACGGCCCAGACUCCUACGGGAGGCAGCAGUCGAGAAUAGUCUACAAUGGUCGGAAGACUGAUAGUGCGACGCCGCGUGAACGAUGAAUCCCUUCGGGGUGUAAAGUUCUUUUAUAUGUGAGCAGUGCUUCUUAUAUUAACAGUAUGGGGAGAGAGAUAUUAGCAUAUGAAUAAGCAACGGCUAACUACCGUGCCAGCAGCCGCGGUAAAAA